UUUAUCAGCGUUAAGUACGUUCAAUACGAUUUGUUUUGCCAAACGAUAUAGGGAGAUAGCUGUUGUUUGAUUUAUUUAUACUUUUUUUGAAUGGAAAGGAAUUGAAUUCAAAGGGUCUUCGGUGCUAACGAUACUGAUCAAAACGUUCACAGCUAUAAAACAACGAGUACUCGUUAUGAGUGUUACAACAUCAGUCGUUACACUUGGACGAAAGGAAAUUAAAACUUUUGUGAUGUAAUGUAAAUAAGAAAACCCGAUUGAUUUGAUGUGAAAUGCUGUAAUGAUAUUAUAAAAUGCACACACACAGCUAUAAAAUAAUGAAGAAAACAUG